rnacentral:rRNA from 1 species
GACGAACGCUGGCGGCGUGCCUAACACAUGCAAGUCGAACGGAAAGGCCCUGCUUUUGUGCUGUGCUCGAGUGGCGAACGGGUGAGUAACACGUGAGUAACCUGCCCUUGACUUUGGGAUAACUUCAGGAAACUGGGGCUAAUACCGGAUAGGAGCUCCUGUUGCAUGGUGGGGGUUGGAAAGUUGCGGCGGGUGGGGUUGGACGCGCGGCUGAUCAGCUUGAUGGUGGGGUAGGGGCAUACCAAGGCUUUGACGGGUAGCCGGCCUGAGAGGGUGACCGGGCACAGUGGGACUGAGGUACGGCCCAGACGGCUACGGGGGGCAGCGGUGGCAAAUAUUGCACAAUCGGCGGACGCCUGGUACAACGACGCCGCGUGCGGGAUGACGGCCUUCGGGUUGUAAACCGCUUUAGCCUGUGACGAAGCGUGUGUGACGGUAAUGGAUAAAGAAGCACCGGCUAACUACGUG